UACGUAGGGUGCGAGCGUUAAUCGGAAUUACUGGGCGUAAAGCGUGCGCAGGCGGUAGGUUAAGUCUGAUGUGAAAGCCCCGGGCUCAACCUGGGAAUGGCAUUGGAAACUGGCUUGCUGGAGUGUGGCAGAGGGGGGUGGAAUUCCGCGUGUAGCAGUGAAAUGCGUAGAGAUGCGGAGGAACACCGAUGGCGAAGGCAGCCCCCUGGGCCAACACUGACGCUCAGGCACGAAAGCGUGGGGAGCAAACAGG
rnacentral:rRNA from 1 species